UACGUAGGUGGCAAGCGUUGUCCGGAAUUAUUGGGCGUAAAGCGCGCGUAGGCGGCUUUGUAAGUUAGAGGUGAAAGCCCGGGGCUCAACCCCGAACUGCCUUUAAGACUGCAUCGCUUGAAUCCGGGAGAGGUGAGUGGAAUUCCGAGUGUAGAGGUGAAAUUCGUAGAUAUUCGGAAGAACACCAGUGGCGAAGGCGGCUCACUGGACCGGUAUUGACGCUGAUGUGCGAAAGCGUGGGGAGCAAACAGG
rnacentral:rRNA from 1 species